rfam:Colletotrichum sublineola strain TX430BB Scaffolds1561.1, whole genome shotgun sequence.
UCCCCGAUAGUCUAGUGGUGAGGAUAUCUGCUUGUCAAUUUCACGAUUCGCAGGGGACCGGGGUUCAAUUCCCCGUCGAGGAG